UACGUAGGGUGCGAGCGUUAAUCGGAAUUACUGGGCGUAAAGCGUGCGCAGGCGGUUUUGUAAGCCAGAUGUGAAAUCCCCGGGCUUAACCUGGGAAUGGCAUUUGGGACUGCAAGGCUUGAGUGCGGCAGAGGAGACUAGAAUUCCUGGUGUAGCAGUGAAAUGCGUAGAUAUCAGGAGGAAUACCGAUGGCGAAGGCAGGUCUCUGGGCUGACACUA
rnacentral:rRNA from 1 species